GUCUACGGCCAUACCACCCUGAACGCGCCCGAUCUCGUCUGAUCUCGGAAGCUAAGCAGGGUCGGGCCUGGUUAGUACUUGGAUGGGAGGAUCUCAAAGAGAUAUUGACC
rnacentral:rRNA from 1 species